GAUGAACGCUAGCUACAGGCUUAACACAUGCAAGUCGAGGGGAAACGACAUCGAAAGCUUGCUUUUGAUGGGCGUCGACCGGCGCACGGGUGAGUAACGCGUAUCCAACCUGCCCACCACUUGGGGAUAACCUUGCGAAAGUAAGACUAAUACCCAAUGGCGUCUCUAGAAGACAUCUGAAAGAGGUUAAAGAUUUAUCGGUGAUGGAUGGGGAUGCGUCUGAUUAGCUUGUUGGAGGGGUAACGGACCAACAAGGCGACGAUCAGUAGGGGCUCUGAGGGGAAGGUCCCCCAAAUAGGGAGUGAGACACGGUCCAAACUCCGACGGGAAGGAGCAGUGAAGGUUAGUAGGCAAUGGGCGAGAGUCUGAACCAGCCAUGUAGCGUGCAGGAUGACGGCCCUAUGGGUGGUAAACUGCUUUUAUGAGGGAAUAAAGUGAGUCUCGUGCCCCUUUUUGCAUGUACCUUAUGAAUGAGGACCGGCUAAUUCCGUGCCAGCCGCCGCAGUCA
rnacentral:rRNA from 1 species